rnacentral:rRNA from 1 species
GAUGAACGCUGGCGGCGUGCCUAAUACAUGCAAGUCGAGCGAACGGACGAGAAGCUUGCUUCUCUGAUGUUAGCGGCGGACGGGUGAGUAACACGUGGAUAACCUACCUAUAAGACUGGGAUAACUUCGGGAAACCGGAGCUAAUACCGGAUAAUAUUUUGAACCGCAUGGUUCAAAAGUGAAAGACGGUCUUGCUGUCACUUAUAGAUGGAUCCGCGCUGCAUUAGCUAGUUGGUAAGGUAACGGCUUACCAAGGCAACGAUGCAUAGCCGACCUGAGAGGGUGAUCGGCCACACUGGAACUGAGACACGGUCCAGACUCCUACGGGAGGCAGCAGUAGGGAAUCUUCCGCAAUGGGCGAAAGCCUGACGGAGCAACGCCGCGUGAGUGAUGAAGGUCUUCGGAUCGUAAAACUCUGUUAUUAGGGAAGAACAUAUGUGUAAGUAACUGUGCACAUCUUGACGGUACCUAAUCAGAAAGCCACGGCUAACUACGUGCCAGCAGCCGCGGUAAUACGUAGGUGGCAAGCGUUAUCCGGAAUUAUUGGGCGUAAAGCGCGCGUAGGCGGUUUUUUAAGUCUGAUGUGAAAGCCCACGGCUCAACCGUGGAGGGUCAUUGGAAACUGGAAAACUUGAGUGCAGAAGAGGAAAGUGGAAUUCCAUGUGUAGCGGUGAAAUGCGCAGAGAUAUGGAGGAACACCAGUGGCGAAGGCGACUUUCUGGUCUGUAACUGACGCUGAUGUGCGAAAGCGUGGGGAUCAAACAGGAUUAGAUACCCUGGUAGUCCACGCCGUAAACGAUGAGUGCUAAGUGUUAGGGGGUUUCCGCCCCUUAGUGCUGCAGCUAACGCAUUAAGCACUCCGCCUGGGGAGUACGACCGCAAGGUUGAAACUCAAAGGAGUUGACGGGGACCCGCACAAGCGGUGGAGCAUGUGGUUUAAUUCGAAGCAACGCGAAGAACCUUACCAAAUCUUGACAUCCUUUGACAACUCUAGAGAUAGAGCUUUCCCCUUCGGGGGACAAAGUGACAGGUGGUGCAUGGUUGUCGUCAGCUCGUGUCGUGAGAUGUUGGGUUAAGUCCCGCAACGAGCGCAACCCUUAAGCUUAGUUGCCAUCAUUAAGUUGGGCACUCUAAGUUGACUGCCGGUGACAAACCGGAGGAAGGUGGGGAUGACGUCAAAUCAUCAUGCCCCUUAUGAUUUGGGCUACACACGUGCUACAAUGGACAAUACAAAGGGCAGCGAAACCGCGAGGUCAAGCAAAUCCCAUAAAGUUGUUCUCAGUUCGGAUUGUAGUCUGCAACUCGACUACAUGAAGCUGGAAUCGCUAGUAAUCGUAGAUCAGCAUGCUACGGUGAAUACGUUCCCGGGUCU